rnacentral:rRNA from 1 species
UACGUAGGGGGCGAGCGUUAUCCGGAAUUACUGGGCGUAAAGCGCACGCAGGCGGUUCGCCAAGUUUUGGAGUGACAGUUGUCGGCUCAACCGACAAAGGACUUUCAAAAACUGGUGAACUUGAGGUACGAGGAGAGGAACAUGGAACUCCAGGUGUAGUAGUGAAAUGACGUAGAUAUCUGGAAGAACACCAAAGGCGAAGGCAAUGUUCUGGCUCGUUUCUGACGCUCAGGUGCGAAAGCCAGGGGAGCGAACGGG